GUUUGAUUAUGGCUCAGAACGAACGCUGGCGGCGUGGCUAAGGCAUGCAAGUCGAACGGAUGCACUCUGCGGGUAACCAAGGGGUAGGUUAGUGGCGAACGGGUGAGGAAUACAUGGAUAACGUACCCCGGACUCGGGAAUAGCGGCGGGCUUCGGUCGGCCCUUUGCGAAAGUGCCGGUAAUACUCGAUGACCUCGCGGAACCGCAUGGUUCUGCGGGCAAAGCUCCGACGGUCCGGGAGCGGUUCAUGUCCUAUCAGCUUGUUGGUGGGGUAACGGCCUACCAAGGCGGCGACGGGUAGCGGGCGUGAGAGCGCGACCCGCCACAUCGGGACUGAGACACUGCCCGGACACCUACGGGUGGCUGCAGCAACGAAUAUUCCGCAAUGGACGAAAGUCUGACGGAGCGACGCCGCGUGCAGGAAGAAGUCCCUCGGGAUGUAAACUGCUGUCAGGGGUGAGGAAUAACUUGACCAACCCCACAGGAAGCACUGGCUAACUCCGUGCCAGCAGCCGCGGUAAUACGGAGAGUGCAAGCGUUGUUCGGAAUUACUGGGCUUAAAGAGCGUGUAGGCGGGAUGUCAGGUGUCCUGUGAAAGCCCCGGGCUCAACCCGGGAAUGGCAGGGCAAACCGGCAUUCUUGAGGCAGGUAGAGGUCACUGGAACAAGUGGUGGAGCGGUGAAAUGCGUAGAUAUCACUUGGAACGCCGGAGGCGAAAGCGGGUGGCUGGACCUGUCCUGACGCUGAGACGCGAAAGCGUGGGUAGCGAACAGGAUUAGAUACCCUGGUAGUCCACGCCGUAAACGAUGCGCACUAGGUAUGAGAGGUUCUGACGCCGAUCGUGCCGAAGCAAAAGUGUUAAGUGCGCCGCCUGGGGAGUACGGCCGCAAGGCUAAAACUCAAAGGAAUUGACGGGGGCUCACACAAGCGGUGGAGCAUGUGGAUUAAUUCGAAGCAACGCGAAGAACCUUACCUGGGUUUGACAUGUAUGGAUGCCCUCUAUGAAAGUGGAGUAAGCUGCCCUCGGGUGAAACAUACACAGGUGCUGCACGGCUGUCGUCAGCUCGUGCUGUGAGGUGUCGGGUUAAGUCCCUUAACGAGCGAAACCCCUAUCGUUAGUUACCAUCAGGUUAUGCUGGGGACUCUAGCGAGACUGCCGGUGUUAAACCGGAGGAAGGCGGGGACGACGUCAAGUCAUCAUGGCCUUUAUGCCCAGGGUGUCGCACGUGCUACAAUGGCCGUUACAGAGCGAAGCGAUAUCGCGAGAUGGAGCAAAUCGCAGAAAGGCGGCCUCAGUUCGGAUUGAAGUCUGAAACUCGACUUCAUGAAGUUGGAAUCGCUAGUAAUCGCGUAUCAGCCAUGACGCGGUGAAUAUGUUCCUGAGCCUUGUACACACCGCCCGUCAAGUCAUGGAAGUUGGGAGUACCCGAAGUCCGUUUAGCUAACCCGCAAGGGAGGCGGCGGCCGACGGUAAAUCCGAUGACUAGGACUAAGUCGUAACAAGGUAGCC
rnacentral:rRNA from 1 species